GCCAGAGUGGUGAAAUGGCAGACACAGCGGACUUAAAAUCCGCAGACGGGUGAUACCGUCGUGGGGGUUCGAGUCCCCCCUCUGGCACCA
rnacentral:tRNA from 1 species